ensembl:lncRNA
GUUGACAAAAGACAUCCGCUAGAACGCGCCUAUUGACUUGAACGUUGACAACCACAUUCUAUUCAUUGUAUUUCUAUUUUACCUUCGCGUGAGACCAAGCGGCGCAAGUGUUACCAUGGUGACCAGUGAGAGUUCAGGAAGGGAUUGUGAAUCCAACAGCUAAAUUGCGUAGGUUUGAAACCAUAAUCUAUUUUUGGCUAAUUGUACUAGAGUAAUGGGCUUCUAGGCUGGUUCGUCGAACUAUUAUUUGGACAAAAUAUGAGUUCACGUAGUACUAAAAGCCCAGGGAAAACUGGAGCCAAGGCACGGUCGAAGGGAGCAGUCCAAUCAUCAGAGGCAGGUGCCUCCCCCCAGCGCAGACAGAGCACUGGUGUGACCCAGGGUGGCCAGUCCAAAGGCAAAGCUGAUGCUGCCAAGACAAGAUGUAACACCUCUGCCAGUGCCAAGACAGUGCAACCACCAAAGAAAAGUACUGCAUUGCUCAUUCUUAUCAUGCCAAAUUAAUCAAUUUACCUUUAGCUUACUUCCAUUGCAACAAUGUAAAGAAGUGCUUUUUUGAUUGUCCUCAUAUACCUAGGCCGUAGUCAUCAGUUGAGAUCUGUGUGCCUAAUGCUUGUGUAGUAGAAGUGAAACUCGCCCGUAGUAUGUUGGCUGAGGUACAUUGGUGACAGGAUACUUCCCUGAGAUCUAAAAAGCUGCUGUCGCUCAGGGCAUGAUAGACUAUAUUGUGUUGCUUGAUUUAUGAGAAAGCCAGUUAAGCAUGCUCAUCUCAAGUUAGGACUCGACCAGAAGAGAAUAAUAAUUGCCUCCAGAGUGGUGCAGUGGUCUAAGGCAUUGCAGUGCUAGCUGUGCCACUAGAGUCCGGACUCUGUUGCAGCCGUCCGCGACUGGGAGACCCAUGGGACAGCGCACAAUUGGCACAGCGUCGUCCUAGUUAGGGGAGGGUUUGGCCCGGCAGGGAGGUUCUUGUCCCAUCGCGCACUAGUGGCUGGCUGGGCGCUGACAUGGUCGCUAGGUGUAUGGUGUUUCCGUCGACACAUUGGUGCGGAUGGCUUCUGGGUUAAGUGGGCAUUGUGUCAAGAAGCAGUGUGGCUUGGUUGUGUUUCGGAGGACGCACUCCUCUCCCGAGUCCAUACGGGAGUUGCAGCGAUGAGAAAAGACUGUAACUACCAAUUGGAUACCAUGAAAAAGGGGUGGGAAAAAAAGGAGAUAAUAAUAAUUUUUCCCUAGGAUCGGCUGUGUUCUUCUUACCGGGGACAGUGUGCAAUCACACAUUCAUAAACCACCCAUAAACCACCCUGGCUUACAUUACACAACUGUCUGUUACUCUUCAUUACACCCAAGGGAGUCUGAUGUGGUCAAAGGAAUUUAUGCUUGAAAACAAUCCCUCAUUGUUUCCUGCAGUCACCACCCAAGGCACACAUGGGAGCAGUAGGAACUAUAGAGAAGGGAACAUCAACUACAUUCAGGCGCACGCAAAUUUUUUCUUGAGCGGAUGAUCGGGGGCUGAAACAUAAUAAAAAAUAAAACAUUUAGACUGCAAAUUUACCGCAAGAAGCCUAAACAGAUAUAAUAUUUGACUAAAACUGUCACGCCCUGACCUUAGAGAGCCUUUUAUUUCUCUAUUUGUUUAGGUCGGGGUGUGAUUUGGGUGGGCAUUCUAGUUUUUCUAUUUCUUUGUUGGCCGGGUAUGGUUCCCAAUCAGAGGCAGCUGUCUAUCGUUGUCUCUGAUUGGGGAUCAUACUUAGGCAGCCUUUUUCCACCUUUAGUUUGUGGGAUCUUGUUUUUGUGUAGCUGUCUUCUGCACUGCAUAUAGCUUUACGGUCGUUUUGUAUUUUGUUGUUUUUUCGGUGUCAUUUAAUAAAAGAAAGAUGUACGCCUACCACGCUGCACCUUGGUCUCCUCAUUCCAUCAACGAACGUGACAAAAACCUUGAUUACAUUUGGAAACAUUGACCUGUGCAGGGUGCCGUCUUUCAGAUGGGACGUUAAAAUGGGUGUCCUGACUUUCUGUGGUCAUUCAAAAUCCCGUUGGGAUUUAUUGUAAGAGUAGGGGUGUACGCCCUGGUGUCAUGGCAAAAUUUCCAACCUGGCCACAUUCCAUCAUGGCCAUCUAAUCAUCCCCCUCAUUCCUAAUUGGCGUAUAUCACUCCUCACCUCUAUAGUUGAUGUGUGGUGAGAGUUCUGGCACAAAAAUGGUUGCCGUGCAUCACUGAGUUGGGUGCUACACAUUGAUGGUGGAUGAGGUGAGUUUCCCCCUACUAUGUAAAGCGCAUUUAUUUUUUAUAUAUUUUUUUACCUUUAUUUAUCUAGGCAAGUCAGUUAAGAACAAAUUCUUAUUUACAAUGACAGCCUAUACCAGCCAAACCUGGACGACGCUGGGCCAAUUGUGCACCACCGUAUGGGACUCCCAAUCAUGGCCGGUUGUGAUACAACCUGGAUUCAAACCAGGGUGUCUGUCGUGAUGCCUCUAGCACUGAGAUGCAAUGCCUUAGACCGCUGCGCCACUCGGGAGCCCAAAACAUCUCUCUGUUAUCUGUGGGAACUUUGGGAACAUAUUUUCUAAAUUAAAAUCCAUUGGAGCUGAU